UUUUCAACAACAAAAAAUCAUUCACAACACCCAUUUGAAUUCUCAACAAUUUUAUUGCGAUCUAUUUUCAAAAAUUACUUAAUAAAAAUUUUAAUUUUACCACUUAAUUUUGAAUAACUCAAAUACAAUGAUUAUUAAUGCCAUGUUUAACCACUAACAUAAGAGCUCGCUUGUAUGCAAUAAAAUAUAAAAUACGCAACAAAAUACCAUUGAUAUGCCAUAAUUGUUGAAAUUAAAAUUUAAAUACUCCUGCUCAACAAUAAAACCGCAAAUUUGUAAAAUGAAUAACGCCAACAUAUUCACAUUCACAUGUUGGAAAAAAAAAUCAAGUUGUAUUCAAAAGGUAUGUGGAAGCCCUAUAACGGAUGUGAUGUAUCCAGGUGUGGCCACUAAUCGAUGGGGUAAAAUGGUUUAAAAGUCAGCAGAAGAACAAUUGCCAGUUUGUUAAAUGUGUUAAAAAGAAGUUCGCAUAGUAUAUGGCGGAUUUUGGAACGUUCACUUAAUUCCCCAAUGCGUUUGUAACAUAAAAUAGUUGAAAUCGCGUUAAUUUUGGUCGAGUUGAAUUUGUAAUUCCCACACAUUAUGGAUAUUUAACUUUUUCGAAUUUCGUCAUAAUAGGAGGUAAAAAGCAUGUUUUCACUCAAAAAACUGAGCCGGCAGAUAGGUCUUUGUAUACAGCUAAAACCAUAGAUUGUCCAACUUAGAUCGUAACAUGCAAAGAUGUCGAGAGGUUCCUUUGUUCAUGGAAAAUGGAUAAAAGCUGCACAUUUUACAGGCUUUGUCCGUACCUAUGUGGAAAUUGAUAACGAUAACGGUUUCGAUAUAUCUUCAAUAAAAAGUGGGCCUUCGAUUUAACUUCUUGAGCCUAGAAAUCGCAUUUGUUAUCCGAUUUGGCUGAACUUUUGCACAUACACCAUGAAAAAUAGAUCUGCUGAUAUCAAUAAAAAUUUUAUCACUCUA
rnacentral:sRNA from 1 species